UACGUAGGGGGCCAGCGUUGCUCGGAAUUACUGGGCGUAAAGGGUUCGUAGGCGGUGUGGCAAGUCGGGCGUGAAAUCUCUGGGCUCAACUCAGAGGCUGCUUCCGAAACUGCCAUGCUUGAGUGCGGGAGAGGCGAAUGGAAUUACAGGUGUAGCGGUGAAAUGCGUAGAUAUCUGUAGGAACACCCGUGGCGAAGGCGGCUCGCUGGACCGCAACUGACGCUGAGGAACGAAAGCUAGGGGAGCAAACAGG
rnacentral:rRNA from 1 species